CCCAAGUAUUACUCCCCCCUACAAAAGGAAGGCCCCGAGGUAGAGAGAGAAAAUACUGGGGGAGCUCGAGCAAUCCGCCGUCCGUGUCGUCGUCGUCGGCGUCGGCGAGGUCGUCGUCUCCGGCAGGGGGUGGGGGAGCCAGGUCGAGGCGAGGCGGGGGGAGCCCGGAAUCAGGAAGAUGACUCAUAUCCUUUGCCCUACAUCUUGAAUUCGUGUUUUUCCCUUGUCGCGAUCUCGUUUUUGUUCUUGCUUGCGGCGAUCCGUUCUUCUUCCUCUGUUUCUUCCUUGACUUCUCGCCGGCGGCGGCGUGGGGUGCACGCGGCAACCAGAGGGACCGCGACCGCGAGCGCGCGCAGGCGCGGAAGCCCAACGCCAAGGGCCCCCAGGACGGGCUCACCCCGGAGCAGCGCCGCGAGAGGGAUAAGAAGGCGCUGGAGGAGAAGGCCGCGAAGAAGGCGGCGCAGGCCGCGGGCGGCGGGACCUCCACGGACAACAAGAAUAAGGCCGGCGGCGCAAAGAAGUAACCGGCACCGGCGACACGUCUGUACGAUUAGUAAUGCCUUAUAAGCUUUGUACCUCAUGCAUCUGCGGAUCCGUGUGCCUUAACUCUUGUUACUCUGUCUCGUUAGAUGCGGUAUUUGUUGGGUCAUAAAUCUGUCUCAUUAGAUGCGGUAUUUGUUGGGUCAUAAAUCUGUCAUCUGUAAGCUUCAAAUACUGAAUAUGAUGAUAAUAAUAUGCGUGUUCUGGUGGUUUUCUG
rnacentral:lncRNA from 1 species